CCACACCUGGCUAAUUUUUUGUAUUUUUAGUAGAGACAGGGCUUCUCUGUGUUAGCCAGGAUGGUCUCGAUCUCCUGAUGUCGUGAUCCACCCACCUCAGCCUCCCAAAGUGCUGGGAUUACAGGCAUGAGCCACUGCACCUGGCCAGCUUUGUUCUUUUUGCUUGGGAUUGUCUUGGCAAUGUAGGCUCUUUUUUGGUUCCAUAUGAAAUUUAAAGUAGUUCUUUCCAAUUCUGUGAAGAAAGUAAUUUAUAGAUUCAAUGCCAUCCCCAUCAAGCUACCAAUGACUUU
rnacentral:lncRNA from 1 species